rnacentral:rRNA from 1 species
CCUACGGGAGGCAGCAGUGGGGAAUAUUGCGCAAUGGGGGAAACCCUGAUCCAGCGACGCCGCGUGAGUGAAGAAGUUAUUCGUUAUGUAAAGCUCUAUUAGCAGGGAAGAAAAUGACGGUACCUGAGUAAGAAGCCCCGUCUCACUACCUGACAGCAGCCGGAGUAAUACGUAGGGGGCAAGCGUUAUGCGGAUUUAAUGGGUGUAAAGGGAGCGUAGACGGGAUUGCCAGUCUGGAGUGAAAGGGCGGGGCUAAAACCCCGGAUUGCUGUGGAAACUGUACGGCUGGAGUGCAGGAGAGGUAAGUGGAAUUCCUAGUGUAGCGGUGAAAUGCGUAGAUAUAAGGAGGAACACCAGUGGCGAAGGCGGCUUACUGGACUGUAACUGACGUUGAGGCUCGAAAGCGUGGGGAGCGAACAGGAUUAGAUACCCUUGUAGUC